rnacentral:rRNA from 1 species
CCUACGGGAGGCAGCAGUGGGGAAUAUUGCGCAAUGGGCGAAAGCCUGACGCAGCGACGCCGCGUGAGGGAUGAAGGUCUUCGGAUCGUAAACCUCUGUCAGCAGGGAAGAACGGUCACUGUGCUAAUCAGCAGUGAAUUGACGGUACCUGCAAAGGAAGCACCGGCUAACUCCGUGCCAGCAGCCGCGGUAAUACGGAGGGUGCGAGCGUUAAUCGGAAGUACUGGGCGUAAAGCGCUCGUAGGCGGUAUGUCAAGUCAGGGGUGAAAUCCCCGCGCUCAACGUGGGAACUGCCUUUGAAACUGGCAAACGUUAGUGUGGGAGAGGAUAGUGGAAUUCCAGGUGUAGGAGUGAAAUCCGUAGAUAUCUGGAGGAACAUCAGUGGCGAAGGCGACUAUCUGGCACAUAACUGACGCUGCGGAGCGAAAGCGUGGGUAGCAAAUAGGAUUAGAUACCCGAGUAGUC